rnacentral:tRNA from 1 species
GCAGUGGUAGUUCAAUGGUAGAAUUCUCACCUUCCAUGUGGGAGACCCGGGCUCAAUUCCUGACCAACGCA